rnacentral:rRNA from 1 species
UACGGAGGGAGCAAGCGUUACUCGGAAUUACUGGGCGUAAAGGGCGCGUAGGCGAUUUUGUAAGUCUUGUGUGAAAGCCCAAAGCCUAACUUUGGAAGUGCACAAGAUACUGCGAGAAUUGAGUUCCGGAGAGGAAGAUGGAAUUCCCGGUGUAGCGGUGAAAUUCGUAGAUAUUCGCAAGAACACCAGUGGCGAAGGCGGCUUACUGGUCCGGUUCUGACGCUGAGGCGCGAAAGCGUGGGGAGCAAACAGG